UCCAUUAUUCGAAUCUCCGCUGUACCCUGCCUCGUCGUCGCUUACCCAAGCGGCACACACGCACGCCUAGAACCCUAGUCACCCGCGACCCCCCUCCACUCCCCGCCGCCUCGUCCCCCCAGAGCAGCGGCGGCGGCGACCGCCAAGAUGUCGGGCGGCUUCUUCCGGGGGACGUCCGCCGACCAAGACACGCGCUUCUCCAACAAGCAGGCCAAGUUGCUCAAGACUCAGAAGUUCGCGCCCGAGCUUGAUCACCUAGUUGACAUGACGAAGGUCAAGAUGGAUGUGAUGAAGCCCUGGAUCGCCACGCGGGCCACUGAGCUGCUCGGGUUCGAGGACGAGGUGCUCAUCAACUUCAUCUACGGCCUCCUCGAAGAGAAGGAGGUGGAUGGGAAGAAGAUUCAGAUCCAGCUGACAGGAUUCAUGGAGAAGAACACAUUGAAGUUCAUGAAGGAGCUCUGGAGCCUCCUCCUGAGCGCACAGCAGAAUGCCAGUGGGGUGCCUCAACAGUUUCUAGAUGCAAAGGAGGCUGAGAUACAGCAGAGAAAGGCGGAGGAUGAUAUAAUUGUGCAGGAGAUCCAAAAGAAGCGGGAGAAAGAUGGAAGGGACUCAGAACUGGAGAAACACAAGAUGAUGGAUGGGGAUGCUGGUAACUCAAGAUUCUAUUGUGAUUCAUUUGGCUCUGCUUUAAAUAAUACCAAUGCCAAUGCUGAGGGUGAAAAUGAAUUGGACUUUAAGCGCAACUCAAGAACAAAGAGCCGGGAAGGUCACAGAUCCAGAAGCAUAUCUUUGUCACCCCAUGGUAGGCAAAGAUCUAUUUCUCCCAGAAGGCGUUCUCGAUCUCCUUACAGGCGUUCCCGCUCUAUUGAUAGGCACCAUAGAUCAUCACGGCGUUCAACUUCAUCUAGACGUUCUGUUUCUCCCCGAAGGCAUUCUCCAAGAAGUACUCCAGUUUCUAGAAGGAGGUCACCUUAUUCCAGGAGAGGGUCACCUUCAUUGUCAGGAUAUCCAUCCCCAUCUUCUCGUCGGCGAUCUCCUCACAUUCGCAGAAAAUCGCCAUCGUCUAGGUCGUGGUGGUCACCUUCUCCCCACCAUCGUCGUUCUCCAGCUCAUGCACCAAGGAGAUCACCAUCUCCUGCACAUCGAAGAUCCCCUAUUCGACACAGAUGUUCACCACCUAGACGCCGAUCUCCAUCUCCAGCAAGGCAUAGGCCAAGAUCCCCAUCUCCAGCAAGACGCGGGCCAAGAUUCCCAUCUCCAAGAGGCCGCAGGCCAAGAUCCCCAUCUCCAGCAAGACGCGGGCCAAGAUUCCCAUCUCCAAGAGGCCGCAGGCCAAGAUCCCCAUCUCCAAGAGGCCACAGGCCACGGUCCCCAUCUCCUGGAAGACACAGACCAUGGUCUCGGUCUCCAGUAAGACGUCGGUCCCUGUCACCAAAACGCCGGAGGAGAUCCCCAAGUUCACCGAAAACUCGUUCUGCAAAUCGAUGUCCGUCUCCACAGCGAAGGAGGAGUAUCAGUCCAUACAGUAGCAGGAGUCCUAAUCGUUCUCGCAGGAGUUUGAGUAGAGACAUCGAGAAAGGAACGAAUGGCGCCCCCUCCAAUAAAGACAGAGCUGUGCUUAAAAGGAACCAAGAAAGAAGAUCAGAUGAUGAUGACAGGGAUGGUGCAAGGAUGGGUGGCCAUCUUUCCUCAGAUUCUGAGCAAUAUAGGUUGACAAAAUCCUUUAGGUCUCCUAACAAUGCAGAAAGGAACUCCACUCAUGAUAGCUCUUUCAAGAGCUCUGGGAAACAUUUUCCUAGUCAGGACAGCACAGAUACAGGUGGAGAUGAGGAGGAAGACAGUCGUGUUAGAGAGAAUGCACGGAAAGAAAAUUCAGCAUGUAAGAAAACUAAGGAUUUCUCGGCUGAUCUGCAACUUAAGAAAGUCCAUGUUGAUAACUCAAGCCAUGGAGAAAAAUCUCCAUUCAUAUUGCAAAAGAGUGGCAAGGGCGAUCAGAAGAAAAACCCUGACCGACUAUCAGAAUCGUCAAAACAUGAGCUUGCUGGUAGAAGAAUGAAGUGUCAAACUGAUUCUCCUGAUGAUUCUCAUGGGAAACAGCAGUCCCCUAUUAGAAUUGAAAAGGAUAACUCUUAUUUGAAGGACAAGAGGAACAGUGAGCAUGUCGUGAGGGGUUCGAGUGAUGAUUCUGAUGAUGCUAUUGGGGCAAAGAAAUAUUUUUCUAGAGUCAACGAGGAUUCCCAAUCAGAAGAUGGAAGUCCUGUUAAAAAGCCCAAGAAAAGAACAGAUGGUAAUAGUCACAUUUAUUCUGGUAGUUCAGGCUCUGAAGAACCUCAGAAACAUAGAUCCCACUCUGAGAAGCGAAGGCAUAAGAAGGCUCAUAAGCACAAGAAACAUCAUGAUGGUAGUUCUGAGUCUGGUUCCGAGCCAGAUGACAAAGAGGCAAGGAGGAGGAAAGAAGAAAAGAGGCUAAGAAAAGAGGAAAGGCGCCAAAGACGUGAAGAAUGGCACCGCAAAAGGGCAGAACGCCAUGCCAGCAAACAAAAAGCGAAGCACAUUGAUACUGUUACACCACCUUCAGAUUUUGAGAAGGAUCGGGGUUCUGAUUCAGACGCUGAUGUUGGGAAAAGAGGUUCACAUGCUGGCAGAGAAGAGUCUGAUCAGAAGAAACUUGAAAUUGAGCUUCGUGAGAAGGCCCUUGAAUCUCUUAGAGCAAAGAAAGCCAUCAGCCACUAGCCUGAGAAAUUUAAUGCGACAGAUUUAUGAGUUUCUAUUUUCAAGUGCUUAUCUCAAUGUUAUGGAAGUGUGCUUAUAUGAUGCCUGUUUAAUUUUCUGUAUGUUUAUGUGGCAGUUGAUCUAAUUUGAGGAUUCCUGAGCUGUUUCCUUGAUGCAGCUACAUUCAGGCUUAGCUGCUAGUUAUCUGAUUAGCACCAUGUGCACAAGCUUUUUAUGUUCCUCAGGGUGAUAUGAUCCACGCCUCAACAAAAAGAAGUUGGUAACAUUAUUGAUUGUGGAAGUCUCUUAAAGCAUUCCUUCUUACAGUUGUUUGGUCGGUGCUGCUUGGGUUCAGGAUCAUAUUAUUUGUAAUCUGAAUGGUGAAACUUGGACUAUUUUGCCCGUGCAGUUUGACAGUGACACUGGUUUUAGUUUGCCCAAUAGUCUGUUGGCGUGCAGGAUUACGCUAACUUUUGUACUGCAUAUUCUUGAAUGCGCGGCAGAUAAGAUGAUUGUCGAUUGAAAAGCUCUUUUCAUUAUAGUAUCCACUUAUCCGGACAGAUCGCCAGCUUGCUGUCAUUUGAAAUAGAUAACUCACCUCGAGUAAAGAUAUAGAAAAACUUGCGCACAGAUAUGAUCAAAUAACCAAUGCCCCUGUAAUAGUUCUAGUACUGCAGGUGAGGUUGGUGAGCUAAACAUGGUUUUUAUUUUCUUAUUGACAAGCGAAAGAUCUUAUUUGAGUGACGUUUGUGGGUAGCCCCAGCAACGUCAUAGAUUGAAAUUUGCUUCGACAGUUUCGUCAUAUUCUUUA